ACUCCUUCGGGAGGCAGCAGUCGAGAAUCUUCGGCAAUGCGCGCAAGUGUGACCGAGCGACGCCGUGUGUGGGAUGAAGGCCUUCGGGUUGUAAACCACUGUCGUAGAGGAGGAAGUUGGCCGGGGUUCUCCCCGGUCAUUGACCUAUUCUAGGAGGAAGGACGGGCUAAGUACGUGCCAGCAGCCGCGGUAAUACAUACCGUCCAAACGUUAUUCGGAAUUACUGGGCUUAAAGGGUACGUAGGCGACGCUGUUAGUCGGGUGUGAAAUCCCUAGGCUCAACCGAGGAAUUGCGCCCGAUACUGCAGUGCUUGAGGGAGACAGAGGUAAGCGGAACUGAUGGUGGAGCGGUGAAAUGCGUUGAUAUCAUCAGGAACACCAGUGGCGAAAGCGGCUUACUGGGUCUCUUCUGACGCUGAGGUACGAAAGCUAGGGGAGCGAAGGG
rnacentral:rRNA from 1 species